UAGAGAGAGAGAGAGAGAGAGAGAGAGACC
rnacentral:sRNA from 1 species